rnacentral:rRNA from 1 species
GACGAACGCUGGCGGCGUGCUUAACACAUGCAAGUCGAACGGAAAGGCCCUGCUUUUGUGGGGUGCUCGAGUUGCGAACGGGGGAGUAACACGUGAGUAACCUGCCCUUGACUUUGGGAUAACUUCAGGAAACUGGGGCUAAUACCGGAUAGGAGCUCCUGCUGCAUGGUGGGGGUUGGAAAGUUUCGGCGGUUGGGGAUGGACUCGCGGCUUAUCAGCUUGUUGGUGGGGUAGUGGCUUACCAAGGCUUUGACGGGUAGCCGGCCUGAGAGGGGGACCGGCCACAUUGGGAUUGAGAUACGGCCCAGACUCCUACGGGAGGCAGCAGUGGGGAAUAUUGCACAAUGGGCGGAAGCCUGAUGCAGCAACGCAGCGUGCGGGAUGACGGCCUUCGGGUUGUAAACCGCUUUCGCCUGUGACGAAGCGUGAGUGACGGUAAUGGGUAAAGAAGCACCGGCUAACUACGUG